rnacentral:lncRNA from 1 species
ACUGAGUAAUUGCUUUGCUUAUUGCAUGCUAAUUGCUGAAAAUUGCUUUUUAUUUUAAAUUCCUUAGCUAAAAAUUGCUUUUUCUUUCACAUUUCUCUGCUUAUUGAAUGACUAUUGCUAACUCAUUAGAUAGAACCUACUUCUCAUAUAAGUAGGUGGAUGCGGCCUCGAUUAGCGGGGGAACCACAUGAAAAAAAGCGAGCUACUGGGUGUACCUCCUGGGUAGUUUGGAAAUCACCUAAUAUAUAUAUGUAUAUAUUUAUAAAUAAAAGUUAAUAUAUAUAAAUUAACAUUAUUUUUUUUUAACAGGAAAUGCACAAUGCUAAAAACUGCGUAGGAGAUUUUAAUACAAUAGUACUACCAAGCCUGAUGUUGGCCGCUAUUUCAAUGAAUGCAGCAGUGUGACAGCUAGCAAUCAAAAGUAACAAGAUAUCGAGGAAAUGCAGAUGGCAAUAAACUGUGUAGGAGUUCAUGAUUGCAAUAGAAUAAAAUCGACCAAGCCUGAAGUCAGCAGCCCCCCUUCAAUGAAUGCAGCAGUGUGACAGCCAGCAAUCAAAAGUUACAAGAUAUCGAGGAAAUGCAGAUGGCAAUAAACUGUGUAGAAGUUCAUGAUUGCAAUAGAAUAAAAUCGACCAAGCCUGAAGUCAGCAGCCCCUUCAAUGAAUGCAGCAGUGUGACAGCCAACAAUCAAAAGUUACAAAAUAUCGAGGAAAUGCAGAAGGCAAAAAACUGCGUAGGAGAUCAUUAAUACAAAAGUAUUAUAUAAACCAAACCUGAUGUUGCCAGCUCCUUCAAUGAAUGCAGCAGUGUGACAGCCAACAAUCAAAAGUAACAAGAUAUCGAGGAAAUGCAGAAGGCAAAAAACUGCGUAGGAGAUCAUUAAACAAUAGUAUUAUAUAAACCAAACCUGAUGUUGGCCGCUCAUUCAAAGAAUGCAGCAGUGUGACAGCCAGCAAUCAAAAAUAACAAGAUGUCGAGGAAAUGCAGAGUAUAAUAAACUGUGUAGGAGAUUAUGAUUGCAAUAGAAUAAAAUCGACCAAGCCUGAAGUCCUUCAAUGCACGCAGCAGUGUGACAGCCAGCAAUCAAAAGUUACAAGAUAUCGAGGAAAUACAGAAGGCAAAGAAGCAGAUGUCAUCAAAGAAGAUCUUUGUUCCUGCAAUGUUUCCGCAGACGAUACAACCAACAGAGCGAAGUGGAAGGAAAAGACUCGGAAUAAAGACCCCACCACCAUACAGGGAACAAUGCAAGGGAGAGAGAGAGAAUAUAAUGUUAUAUUUUUAUUUU